UAAACAGCCACUACCAAAGCAAGAAACAACCUCUCCUAAAGAUAAUAGGGACAGCAAGCAUCUUGUUUAAGGAAGCUGAGAAGUUCAGAGUUUAUAUAUUCAAGAAUUAGAAGCAAGACCUUGUGAUACAUAAACUACCUUCUUCAGCAGAACAGGCAUUUCUGAGAAUGAAAGACCACAUCUUUGGAAGCCUGCAAUUUUAAGCAAGUUUUUGGGAUUCAUGGAAACAGAAGAUCAAAUUACUUUUCCAGAAGGCUUUUCUGUAUGCUCCAGGAAGAUACUGAAGAUACCAAAUAGUGGAAAAAUGUAAUUCCUAAAGCAUAUAUGAGCAUACACUCUUAAUGUCUUGCGUCUGAGAAUACCUACAAUCGCUUAUUUGAAAACUGAAACUUUCUGUUGUUGCAAGACAAAUGGAAAGAAGGGAAUUUUACUUUGUUCUCCAAGUAUUCUUUACAUCCUGGAAAAGCUAUUUAACCUGUAUUUCAUUAAGUCGCCUGUCCCUGCAAGAAAACUCAUAAAGCCCAAGUAACUAGUAACAUUGAUUGUUUUGGAAGAAACCUUUUCUUUCCAUUUAUUUUACCAUUCAAUUAAAUGUAACAAAAUUGAUGUCAAAUAUUCUGGCUGAAAUUCUUUGCCCCAUAUUAUGCAAAGAGAGCAGAAAAGCAUAAUUAUUUCCACAAAUUACUACUCAUUUAGCUGGAUGAGACUUUUCCUUUGGAAGAAAGGGUUUUUUCUUGACAAAUAGUCUUUACUCAUCCUCUGCUACUUAAAAACCACUGGAUAUAACUGUAGUUGUAAGGUCUGAUUUAUGAGAUCUAGCCAUUAAAAUGAUUUAGAAAGCUCAUCUCACUACUGCAUUUCUCAUAAUGACAUUACAUGAUGUACUCAUUAGAUAAAAAGUUUGGUUACUAUUUUUAAAAAAGCUGGGAUGUCUAAUGGUGGUGUCAGAGACAUAACAGUCUCAAUAAAGGCUCAAUUCACAUCCUGCACAAUAACAAGUGUAUUGUGUUCUUUAGGGGAAAAGGUAAUCAAAAGAUUUAGGUAUGAUCUUUAAAUUCUGCAAAUGUAAAAAUCUAAGUUUAUAUUUUAGAACUCUUUGACAAGCCAGUAAUUCACAUAAAAAACUGAUUUGAGAGGAAUUCUUAACCUCUUCCUUUAAAUACUUCCAUACUGCUAUGGAUUCAGUACCCCAAAUGAUCAUUUGUUGUUACGUAAUCUCACACUUCUUCAGCCUUAUAUUCCAACAUUUUACUUGUAUUGAAACUGGGAAAUAUGUGUUGAUACUUCCCUUGAAAAGGAGGACUUUCUAUGGGUAUGCUUUUUCUUUUUAAUGAAUAUUCCUAUCUUGUGCAAUCAAGCAUUCUUCAUGUGUGUCUGCCAGUCUUCUGUUCAGUACUUGUGAAUCCAUUAACCACUUUAAAUCAGUUCUGAUUGAAUGAUAAUAGCCCCAGUAAUGCAAAAUUCUUGCAGGUUCUGUGGAAGUAGAUGACAGUUUUUUUUUUUAAUUAAAAAAAAAAAAUGGAGAAAAUGUCUUGGCUGAAGGAAAGGGUUUCAGUGUGAACUGAACCCCAGACGGUUCACACAGGAUUAUGUAGCUGAUGUAUGAACCUUUGAUUAUUGCACUCUUUAAUAAAACAAAGCUGUAGGAAACAGUGUUUUAUCCUUCUGUUGCUUUAAUAUAACUUCAGUAGCGACUUGUUUAAAGUGUUUGUCUCUGUACUUACUAGUGCAUAUUAUUAUCCUCCACUUCUGCAUGAUCCAGCACAUAGCUACUGGUCUGAUCGGAGGUGAUAGGUUUACAAAUUCUAGCUCUGUCCUCUAUGGCGAGAAAAGAUUUAAGAGGAAGUACUUUUUCAAAGAAUGGAAAACGUUUUUGGAGGCAGGAACAAAAACAGCUGUGCCAUUAGAUAAGUAGAACUUAAGACGUGAAAGAUCAAUGUAAUUGAGAUGUGAUUUUAUACACGUAUGUAUUUCUAUGUGCUCUGCAGCCUGAAACAUGAGGGGUUAAACAGCAAUUGUUUUCUUUAGAUGCCUUAUCAAUCCAUUUAGAAAGUGGCAAACAACUGUCAUUGCAUCCAGGAGGUGCAAAGCCAACAAUCUGCUGAGAGAACUAAUGUUGGAUGUGAGUUCAGAUGUGGAACUGUUCUUUUACCCGUACUGCUUAUAACAGGAAGCUGCAUUAACAUCAUCUAAGGGUGGUUUUGCUCUGGAGCAGACCCAGAAAGAGGUAUAAAUAUAUGUUCCAAUCAUAGAGGAUCCUUGUUCUGUUGGAUUAGAGAUGAUUAAUGUCUUAUUACUACAGCCCAAUCCAUAUAAGUCUAAUAGAUUUACAAUGUAUUUUAUGGGAACUGCCAAGUCUCCUGCUGCCAUUGCUAGAACAUUUUGUCUGAUCUUAGUUCCAUCUGCUUCCCAGUCCAGUCUCUUCCUGGCAUGAUUGGAGUUCUUCAUCCAUGGACCUCUAGCUACUUUUGAUCAUGGUUUUGCCAUGUUAUGUCAGAACAAGGCUCAUGGGGAAAACAAACCUAACUGAAAUACUGAUCUGAAAAUCAGGGAGAUGCAGAGAUUUGACCAGCAAACACCAAACCCUCUCAGUAAUCCCUUUUCAACUAUUUAAAAAACAAGCAUUGUCAAAUGUCAUCACCAAGAGCCUCUUUGACUCCCUGAGAAAACUGAAUGAUGGUUUAUCACCCAGGCAGAAUUCUGUUCUGUUAUGAUUCUGAUAUGAUUUUGCUAAAAGAUGAGCAUAUUUUCUAGUCUUUGGCAGACUGUCAUUUUACAGCACUAAAGGUGAUGGACUAAGAUCCUUGGCUAAUGUGAAGUAAUAAUGGUUUUGCCCAUGUUUGUAGAUGUAGACAAGUUUAAAUGGCAUGAGAAGCUGGAUCAAUAUUUUAACUGCAGUUUACUUCUCUUGCCCUUGCUAUAUACCUCUCUUUGCAUGGGAAGAAAACUAUCCUUCAGUAGUAGUGCAAGUCCCAUCUGAAUCAAACCAUUAGUUGUUUUUUUUCCCCCAAUACCUCACUUGCAUCCCAGGAAAAAUAUAAAUUUCAAGCUUUAUACAUCAAGAUUUUUUUUUUUUAACUUUUCUUGGAUACAGCUAAGUAACUUAUUUCCCCCCC